AUCCAUCUUUCCUGCCUCAGGUCAUUAACGCCUUGGUGUCAGGGUGAUGGUCCCAGUGGGCUCACGUGUGUGAGGGGCACCAGCCAGGAGCGCGAAUCCUAAUUUAUGCUGUUAUAAAGGUUAAGAACAGAGCAUUUCAGCAUGGUUCACAUUCUGCCUGCACGCUGCAGUGGGUCUCAGCUAAUUCAGCAGCAGUGGUUUGUUCUGCUUGAAAUCCUGGAGAAUGGCUCCUCUCCUGAGCUUCAAGGCUUGGUGUGCUGAGCCUCGCUGUCAGCUCAUUCCAGUGACUCAGGAAUGCUGGUCUGGAAGCUGCUCAGAGGUGCCAGGCAAGGCAGAAUAAUGCCAGGAGAAAACCCAAGGCAGUUCUACGUUUAUAUGGGUCUCCAAGUACUGCUCUGUACUGUCUGUAAUAGGGGCCAGCCACUCAACCUGUGUUGAAAUAAAACUCAGUAUUUCCCAUAGAAUGGUACUGGAGUUAUGGGCAGAUCUACCUUGCUGCUGACGAGGCUUCUAUAGACUUGCACCAGCAGAAACACCAAAAUUCAUCCAGAGCAUUUGAACCUCUGGUUUGUCAGCAGUUUGUCAUGCUCAAGGAGCAUCUGUAGAAGAAAUAUGGCCUCAAGCAGCUGGAAACUGGUGACAUCAUGUUUGGGGGCAAGACUGGUUCCUGAGGCUGGCUGAGAAAAGAUUCCUCAUGCCACUGCCUCCUGUCAUCUCCUGAGGGCAAGAAACAGUCCUACUCACCUUCUGUGGGACAUUUCCACAACAAGUAUUGGUUCUAGGCCUUCUAUUUCCUUCUGAACAGUGUACCAGCAGCCCAAGACCACAGGAGAACAAGAAAGAGUGACAGAGCUUUGGUGUACAAGGAUCAUUGUUUUGAGAGGCCUGACAUCUGCACUGUGACCACUGGUCUCAGCCUCCUCUCUGGAGCAUGCUUCCCCCAGCACAGAGCGUGCUUCCCCCCUUGGUUUUCCAUCCAUUUCUCAGUUUGUGAACUGAGGACGGCUGGUGAAGGCUGGGACUGUCCAGAACUGGGGCUGAAGGGGAGUCAAGAGAAGAGGAACCUUUUCUGUCAAGCCUCCUGCAGACCAUCUGACCCAUCAGCUUUGUUUGCUAUUGCUGAAAAACUGGGAUUGCACUUCAAGAACGAACUUUGAGUGAGCUGAGGGAAGAUACCCAAGUGGAAGACAUCACCCCAGAGAUUCAUAUGCUGUCUUGUUCCCUUUUAAAAACAGUAUAAUUUUCUUAAAUAAUAGUGGGCUGAUAUUUGCUCUUAUUUCCUUUCCCUGUGGGGAGACAUUUUGGACUCCUACAAUAUUUUGUCUUGGGGGGGGCAAGUCAUGCACAUGUGGACAUUUGUGCCUACAUAUCUGCCUUUCUCUCACAGUUUGCUAUGGUUGCUACAUACUGCUGAUGGACAAAACAGGGCUAAAAUGCAGCUUGAAGAGAUACAGGAGCUGGAGAACCUGGUAGUAAUAAUUAGCAUCUCUUGACGAGUGACUCCAUGUUCCUGAGCUGACCCCCAAGGGUGAGACUGACAAAGCCUGGGUUGGAAAGAAUUUCUUCAAUUUGUAACAUUUACUGACUUUUCACAGGUGCUUGGCACCCAGGGGAAGGUAUCUCAAUCUGCUGGCCACUGUGAGAAGAAAUUCGAGGAGGAGAGGAAAGAAUAGGCACUGACUGAGCAUUUCCCACCUCUGGCACUGGACCAGGAGUCACAGCCAGCACAGCUCCUCAAGUGCCAAACCCAGGUGUCAGAAACAGCCCAAGAGCCACCUGGGCAGUACCAUGGGGAAGGUUGUCUUUGCACAGAUUAUUUGUUCCCCAGUCCUCCCAUCCCACCCUCCCUGUGAAAAUAAUCACAGUGUACCCAUCCAGCACAAUAUCAGAGGAGAUGUUCUCUAGAAUGUGUCUUUUUUUCAGCAUAAAGCAAAAUGACAUUUAGGUCCAUUUCUGCUAAAACCCUGGCUUUGGGAGGAGAGCCUCUGUAGGAAAAACAAUUGCCACUGGGUAUAAAAAAAAUCCAGCUGGUUUGAUAGUAAUUAUCUGUUGUUGGAUUUGUAAAGUAUUUGCUGUAUAAAUUAUCCAAACAUUCUUUUCCUUUCCCCAAUAUUUUGGGUUUAUAUUUGUCUUUCCUUCAAAUUUAAACAUUUUUAAGCUUCAGUACUUUCAAAUCCCUAUUACCAGUUUUUAAAGGGAUUAGGGUAAAUGGCUUUUAUUGUGCAGUCACAAUACUAUUGCUUUCAAAUACAUCUUCUUGGAUUUCCUGUUCAGAAGAAAAAAAAA